UUGAAACUGAAGAACUUGAAUAUAGUUGAGGUAGGCGGAAUGUGCAGUGUAGCGGUGAAAUGCUUAGAUAUUGCACAGAACACCGAUUGCGAAGGCAGCUUACCAAGCUAUUAUUGACGCUGAGGCACGAAAGCGUGGGGAUCGAACAGGAUUAGAUACCCUGGUAGUCCACGCCUUAAACGAUGUUCACUCGCUGUUUGCGAUAUACCGUAAGCGGCCAAGCGAAAGCAUUAAGUGAACCACCUGGGGAGUACGUCGGCAACGGUGAAACUCAAAGGAAUUGACGGGGGCCCGCACAAGCGGAGGAACAUGUGGUUUAAUUCGAUGAUACGCGAGGAACCUUACCUGGGCUUAAAUGUAGGCUGCAUUCCGCUGAAAGGUGGAUUUCCGCAAGGACUGCUUACAAGGUGCUGCAUGGUUGUCGUCAGCUCGUGCCGUGAGGUGUCGGGUUAAGUCCCAUAACGAGCGCAA
rnacentral:rRNA from 1 species